rnacentral:lncRNA from 1 species
AUUAAAUAUUCCCUUUAUAACCCUAUAAAUUUUUUAUUGUGCUGUUGUCAACCACAAAAACUUUCAUGAUUUUUAUAUGUGUAUACAUAAUAUUUUUGAACAUGAUAUAGGAAAAGCUUCAGAGAUAAAAAGAAAACUUUUUUAAAGGUGUGUUUACAAAUUAUAUGGAUACAUGGGUGGUUACCUUACAGCAGAAGGUUUUAUGAAUAAGGCUAUACAUUGAGCUCAGUGGUAGAGUGCUUGCCUAGCAUGCAUGAGGACUUGGAUUCAGUCCCAACACCUCCUAAAAAGAAAGGUAUUAUAAAUGAGUACAUGGAUAUGAUAUAAAUUUAUAAAGACAAAACUAGUUUCAUGCACCAUUUUAGUUUGGUAGGGAAAGUAAUAGCAAAU